UGGCCUACGGGGGGCAGCAGUGAGGAAUAUUGGUCAAUGGGCGCGAGCCUGAACCAGCCAAGUAGCGUGAAGGAUGACUGCCCUACGGGUUGUAAACUUCUUUUAUAAAGGAAUAAAGUGAGGCACGUGUGCCUUUUUGUAUGUACUUUAUGAAUAAGGAUCGGCUAACUCCGUGCCAGCAGCCGCGGUAAUACGGAGGAUCCGAGCGUUAUCCGGAUUUAUUGGGUUUAAAGGGUGCGUAGGCGGGCAUUUAAGCCGGCGGUCAAAUGUCGGGGCUCAACCCCGGCCUGCCGUCGGAACUGGGG
rnacentral:rRNA from 1 species